GACGAACGCUGGCGGCGUGCUUAACACAUGCAAGUCGUACGGUAAGGCCCUUUCGGGGGUACACGAGUGGCGAACGGGUGAGUAACACGUGAGUAACCUGCCCACAACUUUGGGAUAACGCUAGGAAACUGGUGCUAAUACUGGAUAUGUGAUCCUGCUGCAUGGUGGGGGUUGGAAAGCUCCGGCGGUUGUGGAUGGACUCGCGGCCUAUCAGCUUGUUGGUGGGGUAGUGGCCUACCAAGGCGGCGACGGGUAGCCGGCCUGAGAGGGUGACCGGCCACAUUGGGACUGAGAUACGGCCCAGACGCCUACGGGAGGCAGCAGUGGGGAAUAUUGCACAAUGGGCGCAAGCCUGAUGCAGCAACGCCGCGUGCGGAAUGACGGCCUUCGGGUUGUAAACCGCUUUCAGCAGGGACGAAGCUUUUUGUGACGGUACCUGCAGAAGAAGCACCGGCUAACUACGUG
rnacentral:rRNA from 1 species